UUUCUGACAGGAAGCUAAUGAGGCGCACUCAGUUCUAUACCGCACACAACUGCAGUAACGAGUUUGCAGCUUACGGGUUGCAGUGGACCAAAGGAAAAUGCUUCGUACAUUGAGCAAAAUAAAGAAAACCAGUUUUUUGAGAAUGAAACUGAAGAAAAGACGUGUGUAAGUGCUGUACUUUGCACAUACGAUGUGUCCUGUUCUCUAGAGAAGCCAUUUUCCAGUAGGA
rnacentral:lncRNA from 1 species